rnacentral:rRNA from 2 species
UUAAGCGACUAAGCGUACACGGUGGAUGCCCUGGCAGUCAGAGGCGAUGAAGGACGUGCUAAUCUGCGAAAAGCGUCGGUAAGGUGAUAUGAACCGUUAUAGCCGGCGAUGUCCGAAUGGGGAAACCCAGUGCAAUUCGUUGCACUAUCGUUAACUGAAUACAUAGGUUAACGAGGCGAACCGGGGGAACUGAAACAUCUAAGUACCCCGAGGAAAAGAAAUCAACCGAGAUUCCCCCAGUAGCGGCGAGCGAACGGGGAGCAGCCCGGAGUCUGAAUCAGCUUGUGUGUUAGUGGAAGCGUCUGGAAAGUCGCAGGGUACAGGGUGAUACUCCCGUACACUAAAACACACAGGCUGUGAACUCGAAGAGUAGGGCGGGACACGUGGUAUCCUGUCUGAAUAUGGGGGGACCAUCCUCCAAGGCUAAAUACUCCUGACUGACCGAUAGUGAACCAGUACCGUGAGGGAAAGGCGAAAAGAACCCCGGCGAGGGGAGUGAAAAAGAACCUGAAACCGUGUACGUACAAGCAGUAGGAGCCUCUUUAUGGGGUGACUGCGUACCUUUUGUAUAAUGGGUCAGCGACUUAUAUUCUGUAGCAAGGUUAACCGUAUAGGGGAGCCGCAGGGAAACCGAGUCUUAACUGGGCGUUAAGUUGCAGGGUAUAGACCCGAAACCCGGUGAUCUAGCCAUGGGCAGGUUGAAGGUUGGGUAACACUAACUGGAGGACCGAACCGACUAAUGUUGAAAAAUUAGCGGAUGACUUGUGGCUGGGGGUGAAAGGCCAAUCAAACCGGGAGAUAGCUGGUUCUCCCCGAAAGCUAUUUAGGUAGCGCCUCGUGAACUCAUCUUCGGGGGUAGAGCACUGUUUCGGCUAGGGGGUCAUCCCGACUUACCAACCCGAUGCAAACUACGAAUACCGAAGAAUGUUAUCACGGGAGACACACGGCGGGUGCUAACGUCCGUCGUGAAGAGGGAAACAACCCAGACCGCCAGCUAAGGUCCCAAAGUCAUGGUUAAGUGGGAAACGAUGUGGGAAGGCCCAGACAGCCAGGAUGUUGGCUUAGAAGCAGCCAUCAUUUAAAGAAAGCGUAAUAGCUCACUGGUCGAGUCGGCCUGCGCGGAAGAUGUAACGGGGCUAAACCAUGCACCGAAGCUGCGGCAGCGACACUAUGUGUUGUUGGGUAGGGGAGCGUUCUGUAAGCCGUUGAAGGUGGCCUGUGAGGGUUGCUGGAGGUAUCAGAAGUGCGAAUGCUGACAUAAGUAACGAUAAUGCGGGUGAAAAACCCGCACGCCGGAAGACCAAGGGUUCCUGUCCAACGUUAAUCGGGGCAGGGUGAGUCGACCCCUAAGGCGAGGCCGAAAGGCGUAGUCGAUGGGAAACAGGUUAAUAUUCCUGUACUCGGUGUUACUGCGAAGGGGGGACGGAGAAGGCUAUGUUGGCCGGGCGACGGUUGUCCCGGUUUAAGCAUGUAGGCGGAUGUUCCAGGUAAAUCCGGAACGUUAUCAACGCUGAGGUGUGAUGACGAGGCACUACGGUGCUGAAGUGACAAAUGCCCUGCUUCCAGGAAAAGCCUCUAAGCAUCAGGUAACAUCAAAUCGUACCCCAAACCGACACAGGUGGUCAGGUAGAGAAUACCAAGGCGCUUGAGAGAACUCGGGUGAAGGAACUAGGCAAAAUGGUGCCGUAACUUCGGGAGAAGGCACGCUGAUAGGUAGGUGAAGUGGUUUACCCAUGGAGCUGAAAUCAGUCGAAGAUACCAGCUGGCUGCAACUGUUUAUUAAAAACACAGCACUGUGCAAACACGAAAGUGGACGUAUACGGUGUGACGCCUGCCCGGUGCCGGAAGGUUAAUUGAUGGGGUUAUCCGUAAGGAGAAGCUCUUGAUCGAAGCCCCGGUAAACGGCGGCCGUAACUAUAACGGUCCUAAGGUAGCGAAAUUCCUUGUCGGGUAAGUUCCGACCUGCACGAAUGGCGUAAUGAUGGCCAGGCUGUCUCCACCCGAGACUCAGUGAAAUUGAACUCGCUGUGAAGAUGCAGUGUACCCGCGGCAAGACGGAAAGACCCCGUGAACCUUUACUAUAGCUUGACACUGAACACUGGUCCUUGAUGUGUAGGAUAGGUGGGAGGCUUUGAAGUGUGGACGCCAGUCUGCGUGGAGCCAUCCUUGAAAUACCACCCUUUAAUGGCUGGUGUUCUAACGUGGGCCCCUAAUCGGGGUUGCGGACAGUGUCUGGUGGGUAGUUUGACUGGGGCGGUCUCCUCCUAAAGAGUAACGGAGGAGCACGAAGGUCAGCUAAUCCUGGUCGGACAUCAGGAGGUUAGUGCAAUGGCAUAAGCUGGCUUGACUGCGAGCGUGACGGCGCGAGCAGGUGCGAAAGCAGGUCAUAGUGAUCCGGUGGUUCUGAAUGGAAGGGCCAUCGCUCAACGGAUAAAAGGUACUCCGGGGAUAACAGGCUGAUACCGCCCAAGAGUUCAUAUCGACGGCGGUGUUUGGCACCUCGAUGUCGGCUCAUCACAUCCUGGGGCUGAAGUAGGUCCCAAGGGUAUGGCUGUUCGCCAUUUAAAGUGGUACGCGAGCUGGGUUUAGAACGUCGUGAGACAGUUCGGUCCCUAUCUGCCGUGGGCGCUGGAGAAUUGAGGGGGGCUGCUCCUAGUACGAGAGGACCGGAGUGGACGCAUCACUGGUGUUCGGGUUGUCAUGCCAAUGGCAUUGCCCGGUAGCUAAAUGCGGAAGAGAUAAGUGCUGAAAGCAUCUAAGCACGAAACUUGCCCCGAGAUGAGUUCUCCCUGACUCCUUGAGAGUCCUGAAGGAACGUUGAAGACGACGACGUUGAUAGGCCGGGUGUGUAAGCGCAGCGAUGCGUUGAGCUAACCGGUACUAAUGAACCGUGAGGCUUAACCUU